AAGCCAAAACUAAUCCUCGGGGAUACCUUGGCCGAGGCAUCUAACCGAGUCCGCCAAGGGUGUUAAAAUAUUCACACGUGAAACACAUUUUUAUUUUUAAAACCAGCCGUUCCUUGGCGUUGGCCGAGUUACACAUUCACGUGGGGGUUCGACGUGAAGUGAGCUCUAAUACUACCCCAGGAGUUACCCUCCUCGCCUCUACAACCGGAGUAACUAUAUAACUGGGUUUACCGUGCCCCUCUAAUAGGCAGUCCACGGAAACCCGUCACUGCAGUGACUAACCCACCAAUUUUAAUAAAAUUUCGACAGUAUAACGUGGCUUUUAUUUAUUUAUCCAGCCUGCAUAGUAAAAACAACUUACAUAAAUUUCCCAAUGCACUCACAAAAUAUAGCCACAUAUACUCAUUUCUCAUAAGCCAUUCCUAGGAAAAUAUAUAUUUUUCAAGUCAAUUUGCAGCCUCCAAUUACUCAAUUUCAUAAUCAAUACAAUAUAUUUUUAUUUGUCACAUUUAUUCCUAAAACAUCAAAAAUCCCGUUUUAAUCUCGUUUUCAUUUCAUAAAAUACAUAAAGGGCAUUUAAAAAUAAACUCUAGAUAAUUUACAAUAAUAAUAAGUUUACUCACCGUUUGUACAAACUAAAAGCUUUCUAAGCGCCCCGAUCACUACUCGUCGGGUACGACUUCUUUGCCUUUUCCGGAAGGCUCUCCUCCUAGACACAUUACAAAAAUUUACACAAUUCAUCACAUUGAUGCUAAAUCACUAUAUAAUUAACUUAAAUCCUAUACUAAUGCAUGGUAUGAAAUGCAAUAGCCUAAAACGGCUUAAACGCGGUAUUAACCUAUUUUUGGCACUUUGCCCGAUAAAUUGCUAACGCGCUCCAUUUUAGCUCUAAAUCAUCCCAUUCUCUCUCCAACAUUUCUAACCAUUAAAUAUCAGCCAAUAACCUUCUAAAAACAACAAAAUCAGCUCACUCCCUUCCUUGGAAAAUUCGGCCAAAAAUGGGACAUUAACUCGGUUAAUUUUCUACUUUGUUUUUCUAUCACGUUUAAUCGUUUUUCAUCAUUUUCUCUUCAUUUUCCUUAGAAUAAAAUCAAUUCAUCAUCAUUGUACAGCAUUGAGCAUCCAGCCAAGAGUGGGUAUUGUGAAAAUUUAAUGAUUUCUUGCCCAAUUUAAUUUCUAAACACAUUUAACUAACUAAAACUAUCAAUUUAACUAAAAAUCAAAACCUAAAAAUUUCAAUUUCUCUCCCCUAGAAUUUCGUCCAGCCCUUGAUAUCACUUUUUGAUCUCUCUCCUCAAGCAUGCUAAAUGGAAAUAAAGGCAUAGGAAAGGUAGAAAUCAAGCUAAAAUCGAAAAAUCUUACCGUUAGACGCGUAAACGGUCGAAAACCGCGAAUUUCCCUUUGAAUUUUCUUGUUUCUCUUUGGUUUUUCUUUUUUUCUUCCUUUCCUCUCUAUUUCCUCUCUUGUUCUUCCUUAUGGCCGGCCAGCACUUAAAAUUUGGGUUUAAAUGGGCUGACUUUUCAUUAAAAUAAUAUUAUAUCAUUAAAAAAUGCCACGUGUCACUUUCCCAUUGGCCCAUUUUUAAAAUUUCAUCCAUUUGUUUCCAAAUUUUCACCAUACACUUGUCUCAUAUAUUCAUAGCUUAGAUAAAAUUCUCAGACUCAUCCAAAGUCUCGGUGGAGUAAUUUUUGAAAUUUACACUUUUGCCCCCGUAAAAGUCAAAAAUUACAUUUUUGCCCCAAAAAUUGAAAAAUUGCCCAUAGACAUAUUUUUCAUCCCUUAUACUCAUACCAUUCUCCAAUUUGUCAAAUUUGAUCUAAAUUCUCUCAAAAUCUCAAAUUUUGUCCGUGGGUGGCAAAAUUACGAUUUUGCCCCUACACUCCAAAAAUCACCAGAAUUAAACUUUUUCACUUCCUAUCAUUAAAUUAUACUCCAAAUAGUUAAUCUUGGUCAAAAAUUUCACUCCAUGAUCAAAUUAUUAUCUUAGGUGGCAAAAUGACGAUUUUGCCCUUGAAUAUCAAAAUUUCUAAUUUUACCCCAAAUGAACCCUCGAACUCUGAACAAUCAUUUUUAGUCAUUCCUGGACUAUAAAAUAUUAAAUUUCAUCCUACAAUUCCUAUUUGAACUAGUUCGAGGUUAAAUCAACUCAAGUGUACCGUUAGGUACGAUAUCGGGUUUCGUCUUUUCUUAUGUGCUUUCCUAGCAUAAUAACAUGCUACUCAGUGCAUGUAUGUCAUGACAUGUAUUUAUAGGGUCGGGUUUUACAAUUCUACCCCCCUUAAAAUAAAAUUUUGACCUCAAAAUUUCACUUACCAGAUUCGACAAAUAGAUGCGGGUAUUGGUUCCUCAUCUGAUGCUCUACUUCCCAUGUCAUUUCCUCCAUUCGAGCACUUUUCCACAACACUUUGACCAUUGAAAUACUCUUGUUUCUCAGUACUCGAUCCUUUCGAUCCAAGAUACUCACAGGUUGUACCUCGAACUUCAAAUCGUCAUGCAACUCGAUCGGAGGUGCUUCGAGGACGUGAGAGGGAUCUGGUACAUAUUUCUUAAGCAUGGAGACAUGGAAAACGUUGUGGAUCCGAUCUAACUCCGGAGGUAAUUCUAACCGAUAAGCCACUGGUCCAAUCCUUUCAAUGAUUCGGAAUGGUCCAAUAUAUCUCGGGUUGAGCUUUCCCCUCUUCGCAAAUCGAAUCACACCUUUCAUUAUCCAAUAAAACACCAUAAUUUAUCAUGAUAGUAUAAUCAAUAAGAUUUAAUACUUCAAAGUAUUCAAAUUAUUACCUUUCCAAGGAGAAACCUUAAGAAAAACUUUAUCAUCGAUCUCAAACUCCAAGUCUUUUCUCCGUUUAUCUGCAUAGCUCUUCUGCCUAUCCUGGGCUACCUUUAGCCUCUCUCGUAUAACCUUGAUCUUGUCAUUAGUUAGCUCGAUCAAUUCCACACUCACUAACUUCCUUUCACCUACUUCAUCCCAACAGAGCGGAGUUCGGCACUUCCUUCCAUACAAAGCCUCGUAUGGUGCCAUCCCAAUACUAGACUGAAAACUGUUAUUAUACGCGAACUCCACCAAUGGCAAAUGUCUGUCCCAACUCCCAAUAAAGUCAAUGACACAAGCCCGUAACAUAUCUUUCAAGGUCUGAAUGGUCCUUUCGGAUUGACCAUUCGUUUGUGGGUGAAAAGCAGUACUAAAUCUCAACUUAGUUCCAAGAGCUUCUUGAAAUUUUGGCCAAAAUCGAGAAGUAAAUCGAGAGUCUCAAUCUGACACAAUAGAAACUGAAACUCCGUGUGAUCUCACAAUCUCAUCUAUAUAAAGUUUUGCCAGCUUCUCAAUAGAAUUCAUGCUAUGGAUAGCCAAGAAAUGAGCGGACUUAGUCAGUCUAUCUACAAUCACCCAAAUAGCAUCCUUUCCACUUUGUGUCCGUAGCAAACCCAAUACAAAGUCCAUAGUCACGUGUUCCCACUUCCAUUCAGGAAUCGGCAAAGGUUGAAGAGUACCUAACGGUUUUUUAUGCUCCGCCUUGAUCUGUUGGCAUGUAAGACAUUUUGAUACAAACUCUGCUAUGUCUCGUUUCAUACCCGGCCACCAAUAACUUUCUUUAAUAGUCCAAUACAUCUUGGUGCUUCCGGGAUGUAAAACAUAGGCGGAAGAAUGAGCUUCCUCUAAAAUAGCUCAUCUCAACUGAUCAUCCUUAGGGACACAAAUUCGGUCUCCAAGCAUCAAAGUACCAUCAUCGUUGAGUCUAAACUCACUAGUUUCUCCAUCUUACAGCUUUUGAACUUCCUGUUUCAACCAAUCAUCAGAUUUCUAUAAUUCUCUGAUCUGAUUCAACAAUGAAGGUCUCACAACAAAACUAGCAAGUAGUUUUCCAUCCUCACCAUUAUUCAACUGGAUCCCUAGAAAUUUCAUCUCAAGUAACAUCGAAAAAUAAAAACUCCGAAGUGUUGCUAACGACGAUGAGGAUUUACGACUUAAGUCAUCCGCUACCACAUUUGCCUUUCUCGAAUGAUAAUCAAUCACCAAGUUGUAAUCCUUAACCAACUCCAACCAUCGUCUCUGUCUCAAAUUAAGCUCUUCCUAGGUGAGCAAAUAUUUCAAGCUUUUAUGAUCAGUAAAAAUCUGACAACGCUCACCAUAUAAAUAAUGUCUCCAAAUCUUCAAUGCGAAGACUACUGCUGCUAACUCCAAGUCAUGAGUAGCGUAAUUCGUCUCGUGCUUCUUCAACUGUCGAGAAGCAUAAGCUAUUACUUUUUCAUCUUGCAUCAAUACGCACCAUAAUCCCAACUUAGAUGCAUCAUUGUAUACCACAAAUUCUUUUCCAUUAACAAGAAGUGUUAAGACGGGAGCGGAGGUUAAUCGGUUCUUUAGCUCCUGAAAUCAAUUCUCAUAAACAUCAUCCCACUCAUACUUAACUCUUUACGAGUCAAACGAGUCAGAGGAGCUGCUAUCAAAGAAAAUCCCUGAACAAAUCUCCAGUAAUAACCAGUUAAGCCAAGGAAACUACGAAUCUCAAUUAUUGUUCUCGGUUACUCCCAUUGCAAGAUUGCCUCAAUCUUCUCAGGAUCGACAUAAAUUCCAGCUCCAGACACCACAUGUCCCAAGAAAACCACUUCUUUCAACCAGAAUUCACAUUUAGAGAACUUGGCAUAAAGCUGUCUCUCGCGCAAAGUUUGCAACACAAUGCGCAAAUGGACAGCAUGUUCAUCAUCAUUCUUCGAUUAAACCAGGAUGUCAUCUAUGAAUACUAUCACAAACUUAUCCAAGUAUGGAUGGAACACCCUAUUCAUAAGAUCCAUAAAAACUGCCGGGGCAUUAGUCAAACCAAACGGCAUCACCAGAAACUCAUAAUUCCCAUAACGCGUCCUGAAGGCAGUCUUGGGUACAUCCUGCUCUUUAAUCCUCAACUGAUAGUACCUAGAUCUCAAAUCAAUCUUAGAGAAUACCAUAGCACCUCGUAAUUGAUCAAAAAAAUCAUCUAUCCAGGGUAAGGAUAUUUAUUCUUGAUGGUCACUCGGUUCAGCUAUCAGUAAUCAAUACACAAUCGAAGAGUGCCAUCCUUCUUCUUGACAAAUAGGACUGGUGCUCCCCAAGGAGAAAUGCUAGGGUGAAUGAAACCUUUAUCCACUAAAUCUUGCAACUGGACUCUCAGUUCCUUCAACUCUGCCGGAGCCAUUCUAUAUGGAGGGAGAGAAAUAGGUGCGGUACCCGAAAGUAAAUCAAUAAGGAACUCAAGCUCUCGAUCAGGAGGCAGUCCCGGUAAAUCAUCAGGAAAUACAUCAGGAAACUCACUUACUAUUGGGACAUCCUCUAACUUAGGUUCCCCCUUUGAAGUAUCAAUCGCGUAUGCCAAAUAAGCCGGAUACCCUUUCUUCACUAAUUUCGAAGCUUUGAUGGUCGAGAUUACACAGGACGGUAAUACUCGACGUUCCCCUGCAAACAUAAUCUCUGCUCCCUCUGAAUUUCAAAGAACAACUUCCUUUCGGAAACAAUCCACAUUCGCCCGAUGUGCAGUUAACCAGUCCAUACCCAAUAUUAGAUCAAAAUCCAAGAUCUCUAGAGGAAUUAAGUCACCCCUAAAUUCUUCCUCGCCUACCCUUACCCCACAAUCUCUAUAACAACUGUUUCUAACUAGCUUUUCUCUUAAAGGGGUGUGAAUUAUAAUUUUUUCCUCUAAUGGUGACAGGUUUCUAUCAGCAAUCGAUGCAAAUGUGGUGCUCACAUAAGACCUAUCUGAGCUAGAAUCUAUCGAAACAUAAGCAUCUUUAUCAAAUAAAGACAUAGUACCUGUCACUGCUCCAGGUCGGACCCGUGCCUCAUCUUCUGUCACAAUGAAAACUCUUGUCGAGGUACGAGUCUGUGGUCUCAAAGGUGGAUGUGCCGGGGUAUUACUCUCCACAUCGGACCGUAUGGCCACUCCCUGUCUCGGUGGCAACCUAAAAGAAUCUCUCCUCUGCAUAUCAGUGCGAGUUGGUGAAGAUAAUGCAACUACCAUGGCUCGUCCUAACCGUGGGUAAUUACUCCUAAUAUGACCCGUCUGUCCACAUUGGAAACAUCUUGUUGGCCCUCUACAUAGCCCACUAUGAUAAUUCCCAUAAUUUUUGCAUCGGUCAGAACCUCCGAAACUCUUCCCAAAACCAAUCAUAGCAGAUCUGCCAAACCUCAAAAGUCUCUAUUAUGAUGGUGGAAAUGGAGGUCGAGGAGAUGUCACGGAAACAGAAGUAGUACUCCUUGAAAUCGCUAAGUCUUUGCCUCUUUUUACUAGCUGACUAGAAGACAUACCAAGAUUCCUCCUUUUUGCAAACUCAGUCUGAAUCCUCCUAUUCUCAAUCGCAAGCUUCUCAGCCCGUAAAGCCAUCUGUACCACCUCUUUAUGCGACUCCCUACUAGUCACUGUCAUCCGCUCUCUAAUCUCAUUACGGAGCCCUUCCUCGAAAUAAUUGGUUUGAUCCUGCUCAAAUUUCACCAGAUCCGGCACAUAUAACAUCAACUCGUUAAAACAAGUCUCGUACUCCUCUACAAUUAGAUUCCCCUGUUUCAAACUCAGAAAUUCUCUCUUCUUUUCUUUUUGAUGAAAAUAAGUGAAAUACUGACCAUCGAAUUUCCUGAGAAAAUCGGACCACAUUUAAGGAGUAGUGGAACGGGACUUCACUGAAUUCCACCAAGUACGAGCCUUCUUCUCUAAUAAUCUCGUAGCCACCAUUAGCUUCAUGUCAUUGUCUAAUCUCAUAUCAGAGAGAGUCUCUGAAACCUGAUUAAUCUAGUCCUUUACCACAGUGGCAUCCAACUCACCCACGAAAGACACACAAUCAAGCUAUCUAGCCUCAUUUAGCUUCUUGGAAAUGAAUACAUCUUGUACCGAUGGUGGAACUAAAGGAGUAACUGGUGGUACUAUAGGUGAAACUUGACCAGUCUGAGCUCCACCUGCCAUUGCGGUAAAGAAAGCUACCAAUGCCUGUGUUGCCUCAGUAGGCAUGGCGGGAAUACCAGUAGGUGGCGGAGGAGGUGGAGGAUGUGGAGGACUAUCGGCGUGCUCAGCAGCAGGUGCUGCUCGAAUGGUAGACGCAGCCGAUUCUUCCCCUACUGCAUCUAGCUGACGACGUUGGGAAUGACCUUUUCCCCUCCCAACCGAUCUAGUGAGAGGUGGGUGUCCGCGUCAAGGAGGCAUAAUAAUCUAUAAGAGAAAACAAGCAAGCUUAGGAAACCUUAAGCUCUAUAUGAAAAUGCAUGCAUUCUAUUCAACCUAAUCUAACUUAAUCCGGGGUCGCACUGAUACUGUAAAUUUUUAAAACCACUUUAAAACCAAAAACUCAUAUCUUUAAAACCAAAGGCUCUGAUACCAAUCGAAUUGUCACGACCCGAAACCUCCCUUAGGCCCAUGACAAUCACUGCGACAACCCGAUUGCCACUCAUUAUCCGAAGUGCCAACUAAAACCCCGCAAGGCUUACAUAGUAGUUUCUUUCCUUUCCUAUGAGCAAUCGUUGUUAAAUAUUGAGUUUUUAGAGAAUAUACACUAUUUUAGAUAAAAAACAAUGAAAAAAAAAUUUUUGCCACAUAGGGGUAUUUUGGUCAUUUUUUUCUCAAAAAUUUCGAAAUUGGGUAAAACAUAAUAUACAAGUACAAAACACAUAAUUCAUAUUCAAAAUGAGUUUAAAAGUUUAAAAUCUUCAUUUAAAACAAAAUUACGGUUAUUUGAAUAUAAUAAGAAAAUAAAAGAAAUAUUAAGUGAAAUAUUCUAUUUUCUUAUAAAACAAUAUUUAUAAAGAUAUACGUGAAUAAUUUUUAUAGCAUAAAAGCUAAAUAAAUUUAUACAUACUGAAAUACAGUAAGCCAAAAUAUUUAAUUUAAUUUACAAUAACAAGAGGGCCCCCGAAUGAACAAAAGUAAAGAGGACUGUGAACCUACGGUUUGGAAAAUGCAGAUCCAAUGGUAGUCCUCGAUGAGAUCAGCUAUCUACAGUCUAUACUGAAUUUGAAAUGGGUGGAAAAGAGGGUGGUGAGAUUAUAAAAUCCCAAUGAGUAAACAGACAUUAUCAUAAAUAUCUAAAGGCGAGUAAAAUUGAGGCAAGUUUAAACAACAAAUUUCAACCCAUUUCAUAAUGUUUUCAAUUUAUUUCUUAAACCAUAAAAUAUUUAUAAUUUACCAAAACAGUUGUUAAGGCUUAUGUCUUUUAUUAAAACAAGGCUCAAGCCAAAACUAAUCCUUAGGGAUACCUUGGCCGAGGCAUCUAACCGAGUCCGCCAAGGGUGUUAAAAUAUUCACACGUGAAACACAUUUUUAUUUUUAAAACUAGUCGUUCCUUGGUGUUGGCCGAGUUACACAUUCACGUGGUGGUUCGACGUGAAGUGAGCUCUAAUACUACCCCAGGAGUUACCCUCCUCACCUCUACAACUGGAGUAACUAUAUAACUGGGUUUACCGUGCCCCUCUAAUAGGCAGUCCACGGAAACCCGUCACUGCAGUGACUAACCCACCAAUUUUAAUAAAAUUUCGACAGUAUAACGUGGCUUUUAUUUAUUUAU
rnacentral:lncRNA from 1 species